GUGCAAACAUAAAAGUGAAGAGUUGAAAGACAGCCUUUACGUAUAGACAUGAAGUUAUUCGGAAUCAUACUCCUCGUUGCAACGUUGAUGUUGGCCUCAAUUACAACUUCAGCUGAUGCCUACAUGUAUGGAGGAUAUAACAAAGGAUAUAGGGGAUAUAAUUAUGGAAGGUAUAGAAAUUAUGGUCGUAAAAAUUACGGCUACCCUUCAUACGGUGGAGAUUACGGAUAUGGAAGAUGAUACUUAGAAAAAAAAAGGAUCAGUCUCUGAGUAUUUGAAAUAAAUAAAAUGAUUUAUAAAAUGU